AUUGAACGCUGGCGGCAGGCCUAACACAUGCAAGUCGAACGAGUGGCGGACGGGUGAGUAAUGUCUGGGAAAAUGCCCGAUGGCGGGGGCUAACUACUGGAAACGGUAGCUAAUACCGCAUACCAACGGAUGUGCCCAGAUGUGAUUAGCUAGUGGGUGGGGUAACGGCUCACCUAGGCGACGAUCCCUAGCCGGUCUGAGAGGAUGACCAGCCACACUGGAAGUGAGACACUGUCAAGACUCCUACGGUGGGCAGCAGUGGGGAAUAUUGCACAAUGGUCGCAAGCCUGAUUCAGCCAUGCCGCGUGUAUGAAGAAGGCCUUCGGGUUGUAAAGUACUUUCAGCUAGGAGGCGUUACUCACAGAAGAAGCACCGGCUAACUCCGUGCCAGCCGCCGCGGUAAUAC
rnacentral:rRNA from 1 species